UAUGGGANGGGGUCGCGUCCUAUCAGCUUGAUGGCGGGGUAACGGCCCACCAUGGCUUCGACGGGUAGCCGGCCUGAGAGGGCGACCGGCCACAUUGGGACUGAGAUACGGCCCAGACUCCUACGGGAGGCAGCAGUGGGGAAUAUUGCACAAUGGGCGCAAGCCUGAUGCAGCGACGCCGCGUGCGGGAUGAAGGCCUUCGGGUUGUAAACCGCUUUUGAUCGGGAGCAAGCCCUUCGGGGUGAGUGUACCCUUCGAAUAAGCACCGGCUAACUACGUGCCAGCAGCCGCGGUAAUACGUAGGGUGCAAGCGUUAUCCGGAAUUAUUGGGCGUAAAGGGCUCGUAGGCGGUUCGUCGCGUCCGGUGUGAAAGCCCAUCGCUUAACGGUGGGUCUGCGCCGGGUACGGGCGGGCUGGAGUGCGGUAGGGGAGACUGGAAUUCC
rnacentral:rRNA from 1 species